GGCAUGGAUUAGGCAUGCAAGUCGAACGCUUGAGCUCUUCGGAGCAAUAGAGUGGCGAACGGGUGAGUAACACGUGAAUAACCUACCUUGAUGAGGGGGACAACCAUUCGAAAGAGUGGCUAAUACCCCAUAAGCUCCUACGGGAGGAAAGCUGGCUUUGCUGGCGCUUCAGGAGGGGUUCACGUACUAUUAGCUAGUUGGUGGGGUAAUGGCCUACCAAGGCUAUGAUGGUUAGCCGGCCUGAGAGGGUGUCCGGCCACACUGGGACUGAGACACUGCCCAGACUCCUACGGGAGGCUGCAGUCGAGAAUCUUCCACUAAUGCGCGAAAGCGUGAUGGAGCAAUUCCGUGUGUAGGAUGAAGGCCUUAGGGUUGUAAACUACUGUUGGAAGGGCGUAAUCCCCGGGAGUUAAUACCUCUCCGGGUUGAACUCCCUUCGGAGGAAGCAGCGGCUAAAUUCGUGCCAGCAGCCGCGGUAAUACGAAUGCUGCAAGCGUAGUUCGGAAUCACUGGGCAUAAAGGGCACGUAGGCGGCUUGUUAAGUCAGCUGUGAAAUCCCUCGGCUUAACCGAGGAACUGCAGCUGAUACUGACAAGCUUGAGUUCGGGAGGGGAGAGCGGAAUUCCUGGUGGAGCGGUGAUAUGCAUAGAGAUCAGGAGGAACGCCGGUGGCGAAAGCGGCUCUCUGGACCGAAACUGACGCUGAGGUGCGAAAGCUAGGGGAGCGAACAGGAUUAGAUACCCUGGUAGUCCUAGCCGUAAACGAUGGGUACUAAGUGGGGGGACUCCCAAGGUCUCCCUGCCGGAGCUAAUGUGUUAAGUACCCCGCCUGGGGAGUAUGGUCGCAAGGCUAAAACUCAAAGUAAUUGACGGGGGCUCACACAAGCGGUGG
rnacentral:rRNA from 1 species